CGACCUGAAAUGUUGUCUCAGACCU
rnacentral:miRNA from 10 species